GACGAACGCUGGCGGCGUGCUAAACACAUGCAAGUCGAACGGAAAGGCCCUGCUUGCAGGGUACUCGAGUGGCGAACGGGUGAGUAACACGUGGGUGAUCUGCCCUGCACUUCGGGAUAAGCCUGGGAAACUGGGUCUAAUACCGGAUAGGAGCCAUUUUUAGUGUGAUGGUUGGAAAGUUUUUUCGGUGUAGGAUGAGCUCGCGGCCUAUCAGCUUGUUGGUGGGGUAAUGGCCUACCAAGGCGGCGACGGGUAGCCGGCCUGAGAGGGUGGACGGCCACAUUGGGACUGAGAUACGGCCCAGACUCCUACGGGAGGCAGCGGUGGGGAAUAUUGCACAAUGGGCGCAAGCCUGAUGCAGCGACGCCGCGUGGGGGAUGACGGCCUUCGGGUUGUAAACUCCUUUCGCUAGGGACGAAGCUUUUUGUGACGGUACCUAGAUAAGAAGCACCGGCUAACUACGUG
rnacentral:rRNA from 1 species